rnacentral:rRNA from 1 species
UACGUAGGUGGCGAGCGUUAUCCGGAAUGAUUGGGCGUAAAGGGUGCGUAGGCGGCCUGCUAAGUCUGGAGUGAAAGGUACCGGCUCAACCGGUACAGGCUCUGGAAACUGGCGGGCUAGAGAGCAGGAGAGGGCGGUGGAACUCCAUGUGUAGCGGUAAAAUGCGUAGAUAUAUGGAAGAACACCAGUGGCGAAAGCGGCUCUCUGGUCUGUAACUGACGCUGAGGGUCGAAAGCGUGGGUAGCAAACAGG